AUGGAACAGCAGUUGAAAUGGGUGAUGGUUGGUUGCUUAGUUAUGCUAAUAAGAUGCAACCAAACAACUUCAAAUAACAACCUUAAGAUAUCAUGGCAGGAUGCUAAGGUAGUAAAGCCGCUAAUUAAAGAUUCACAAGCUUUCCUAGCCGAAGCCUUGAAAAUACAAAAGAAAAAGCGUAGUGAACAUCUCCUGAACAAUAGGCCCACCAUUAAACUUCUGUAAGCUUGGACAUAUUUGCUUGAAAAAUUGGAGAAUGGCUUCCGGGCAGAAAACAGAAAAGAAACCUCCUUAAAACACAAUCACCCACUAGGAUAGUCUGUAAAUAGUAGUCCACUGUAUUGCCUACAAUUGGAUAGAGUUUUAGUUUGUAUUUUUGUUAAUUAUUAUUAUUUUAAUAUUCAUUGUAUUUUAAACAUUUUAACUAUUUUUUGU
rnacentral:lncRNA from 1 species